rnacentral:lncRNA from 1 species
CGCACGUAUCCGGGCCCCGCCCCCUGGCCGGCCUACUUACAGCAUUGGCCGGCCCGCUUGUCAUUCCCACCGUGGCUACCAUUCAUGCAGUUUGGUUGCGUCUUGGUGUAUUUGAGUGUUUGCAAUAAAAAGGGCUUUUAAUUUUUGGAGGUGCAGGUCCAGCUGCAAUUAGUUCACUGAAAAGUCUACCGCCUUGCAAGCAGCCAACCGCGGCUAGCUUUAGCUCUUUAUUUCUCCCUUGCAAUUGCAAGCCACUAAUUCAGAGGUGCAACUAUGCCCAAAAGAAAGGCAGCCGUUGAAGGGCAGGUAAAGGAGGAGCCAAAGAGGCGGUCACCUCGAUUAUCUGCUAAGCCUGUUCCUCCUAAAUCUGAGCCCAAAACCAAAAAGGCAGCAGCCCCAAAGAAAGUGAACGUAGCAAAUGAUAAAAAGGAAAUGAAAGGCAAGAAGGGGGCCGCCAAAGUCAAAGUGGAAACCAAGCAGGAAGAAGUGAAAGAAGAAAACCACUCUGAAAAUGGAGAGACCCAAACUAACGAGGUGCCGGCUGUGGAAGAACCUGAGGAGAAGCCUGAGUAAUAUGUAACACUGCCCUAUAUCUCCAUCAGUUUGCAUGAAGUUAAUUUUGGAACGUCUCCAUCCUGGUCGCUUGGGUAUGAUGUCACCAACAAGAUAUCACUGUCUCUGCAUUUUGUGAUUAUAAUAGUGUGAUCUAUGGCAAGAAUAAGUGGUGGUAGCUUCUGACUUUUGUCACUGUGUACCCUUUCUUGUGUAAGCUAUCCUUUCCGUCCUUUGGCUUUUUCUUUGGCCCUGGUACGUGUUUAAUUCAGUGAAGUGGGGAGGCCCCAAAUAGAAAGUUCUCAAAUCGGCUAGUCCGGGGUGUCUGUGGGUUGAUUUUAUAAAGAAGGUGAGCUAUUUUCAUGAAAUUCUAAGAGUUGGAAAUAUCUUUCCCAAAUAUAACUUUAAUAUUAGUUUUUGAAAGAAAGUAAAAUGUAAUCAUGUUUUUAAACAAAAUACAAAUGUUUAUUUCAGAAGGGCAGAUUGAUUGUAUGUGUAGCCACUAUUAGAAAUUUUGCUGGAUUUAUCUUAAUAAAAUAAAAAGACUCCUC